GAUGAACGCUCGCGAUAGGCUUAACACAUGCAAGUCGAGGGGCAGCAUGGUCUUAGCUUGCUAAGACUGAUGGCGACCGGCGCACGGGUGCGUAACGCGUAUGCAACUUGCCUCCCAGAGGGGGAUAACCCGUCGAAAGACGGACUAAUACCGCGUACACUUGGGAUAGGGCAUCCUGACCCAAGGAAAUGAAAUUCGCUGUGAGAUAGGCAUGCGUCCCAUUAGCUAGUUGGUGAGGUAACGGCUCACCAAGGCGACGAUGGGUAGGGGAACUGAGAGGUUGAACCCCCACACUGGUACUGAGACACGGACCAGACUCCUACGGGAGGCAGCAGUGAGGAAUAUUGGUCAAUGGGCGAGAGCCUGAACCAGCCAAGUCGCGUGAAGGAUGACUGUCUUAUGGAUGGUAAACUUCUUUUAUACGGGAAUAACAAGAGUCACGUGUGGCUCCCUGCAUGUACCGUAUGAAUAAGCAUCGGCUAACUCCGUG
rnacentral:rRNA from 1 species